GCCGGGGGAUGGAUUAGCUGCACUGGCGGUGACCAAUGUGUGGAGAAAAGGCCUACUUUUCGUUGAAAUUGCUGCGCUUUUGACAAUUCUAAUAGCGAUUUUGCCAAUAUGUGAUCGUUGUGCUGAUUCAUAGAUACCUAGGACUGAGUAGGAGGAACUUUGCAGAUAACUCAGUUGCUUUACUACAUCGAGAAAUUGAUGAACUUGUCAAAAUCAACUCCCAGGCUUUUGCUACACUACACUACCGGUACAGUCCCAUGUAUUUGCUUGAAUGUCACCACUCUGAGUCUGAAACUUACCUGGAAUUUUCACCCAUUCAUUAUGAUCAUAUCCAAUCAAACGGAAAAUAACUCCGAAAUAACUGUACAUUCCUGAUUGUUAAUUGGAUUAUUCAGCUGACUAGUGUUGAGUUCUACUGACCUGUCGUCUAGUACAAAGUGCUUCAAUUCAUCUGUUUUGAUUGGAAUUUGAAUAUUAAAAAAAUUAAAGUUGAUUCCACUCAUCCUUCGAACGAGGUUAUUCUUGACUCGGACCGGGUGCUACCCAGCCCUCCUCCUCCCACCAUUAUUGAUGUUAGGUCGAGCUCAUGGUUAUUAUGCAGAGAUGUAUCAUGGAGAAUCUUCGGAAGCAGUGAGACGACGCUGUAAAAGAGGCAUCUGCAGGUGCAGGAGUUCCACACUGGGGGCAAAUCUUCAGGUUCAUCAGUUCCUGGUGGAGACCAAGAAGUUCCUUCAACAGGGGGCCUGUUUCAUAAAGAUUAACAGCUAUAUUUUGUAACUUUGUUAUUAUUGUAACUACCAUGGAAACCUUUAUUGUGGUUGGCUGCUAUAAGCCCCAUUACCAUGGAUGUUGCCAUAAUGGCAAAGUUACAAAAGCUGUAACGCUUCAUGAAAUGGGCCCCUGGCCUGGAGUAUCAAUAUCAAAGAGGAAGUACUCAUCAUCAUCUUGACUGUUGUUGAUGUGUCUUAUGCCUGAGAGAACAUUUAUAAGACAUGAGGAGAUCUGAUCCUGUUAUUUCCAGAUCAUUGCAGGCCUCUUCUUUCUGAAGCCGCUAUAACAAGGGAGAGAAUGCUAGAAGAGGGAUAAAUGGAUUCUGACCUCCCAGUUAAUACCUUACAAAAUAUGAAGGGCCUAUCAACCUUGCAACGGAGGCUAAGGAGACGUGAGGGCUGUGAAAGCAUUGGUUGAAUCAGAAACAAAGUAUCGGUACCUGUAGACUGACUGGGCUUGACUAUCUACUCUGCUUCAUGAUGCUCAAAGCACUACAGUACUCUUGACCAUCACUGAUUAGGGUAUCUCAAGGGACAAGGCUUGACUGGAGAUGUAUGGUGCUCUGAUGAAUUUCCUCAGUUCAGUUAAAGGAAUCAUUACAGAACAAGGUAGAGAAUGCUAGAAGAGGGAUGAAUGGAUUCUGACCAAUAACGUCAUCUUGCCAAACAUAAAGGGCCUAUUGACCUUGCAAUGGAUCAGGCUAAGGAGAAGGCUGUGAAAGAUAUGGAUGAAUCAGAAGAUCUGCAGUCAUGUCACUCAUGGAUACACCCCCUUUCUGAUGUUAAUCAUCUUCCAAGCAUGAAUGAGAGAGAUAGUCUACCAGGAAAGGACAUGACACAAUCAUCCUCUAUAUGGAAUGUCGGGUUUGUUUGUGUACUGUAAUUGCAGUGACCAAUCAAGAUCAUUGUAACAUGCACCAGGAAACAAUCAGAAUAGUUGUUCUAUAUUUGCAUUUCAUCACAAACUUUUGUGUUAUAUAGCCCUGGUAUGUAGAGAAGCAAACACCAUGUUUUACUUUAUAUUUUGUAAUGGAUUUUAAUAUGAUAUUUGUAUAGCUUCAAGGAGCAGGUCCAAGCUAUCAUCUCAAAUCAAUAGUUUGUGCAUAAGCUUUGAAAUAGUUGACAAAUAUUGCAGGGUAAAACCUUUAAUAGUGUUUUUCUUAUGUAUUUUAUUGGGUUUUUUUUUUAAUUUCUCAUGUAUUGUAUUGUUUAUUGACUUCUUGAAUUUUUUUCAAUGGAAAUUGUCAGCAACACUCUUUUGAUCACAAACAAUAUGAAAUGAAUGGAAAUUGAUCAGAAAAAAAAUAUCAUUAAUUUGGGAUCGAAACAGAAUAGGCAUUGGAUGUGUAUAAGAAAUCACAUUUUUGAGCAAUUUUUUACCUGACUGACAUGUACGGAAGUAAUUUUGGGUAAUUUCAGAACUGCAUACCCGGUCAUCACAAAUUUGGUGUCAACAGUUGCACAAAGCAGAGAAAAAAUUCAUUAAAUAUUUCACUUUACUGAUUUAUUUAGUGUUAAGCUUCAUAAAACAGUAUGGUAUCAAGGCCUAUAGUAGCUAUUUAUGGAGUAAUUUUGCUUUUUAACAUUAUCUUGAUAUUGUUAUUUCUGUGGUUUUUUUUUUUUUUUUUUUAUUCUGCAAAAGUGGAUCCAAAGGUUUUCCAGAGUUUUCGCCUAUUGAGUUUUAUCUCUGGUUUUUUACCCUGGAUCUACUUGUCGUAGAAUUGUUAAAGGGGAAUUCAACCUUGGUCAUAAAAUGGUGUGUAGAGGAUCAGG